GAUGAACGCUAGCGGCAGGCCUAAUACAUGCAAGUCAAGGGGAUAGCAAUAUCACCGGCGGACGGGUGCGUAACGCGUACACAACGUGCCCAAGGGCGGAGGAAAGCGGCGGGAAACUGCCGGUAAUACUCCAUGGUGUUGUUGAGUGGCAUCACUUAACAACUAAAGUACAAGCGCCCUUGGAUCGGUGUGCGUUCGAUUAGCUAGUUGGCGGGGUAACGGCCCACCAAGGCUUCGAUCGAUAGGGGGUGUGAGAGCAUGACCCCCCCACACGGGUACUGAGACACGGACCCGACUCCUACGGGAGGCAGCAGUAAGGAAUAUUGGACAAUGGGCGGAAGCCUGAUCCAGCCAUGCCGCGUGAAGGACGAAGGCGCUCAGCGUUGUAAACUUCUUUUGGAUGGGAACAAUAACUCCGACUUGUCGGAACUUGAGGGUAUCAUCAGAAUAAGCACCGGCUAACUCCGUGCCAGCAGCCGCGGUAAAGUCAC
rnacentral:rRNA from 1 species